AUCGCUUCUUGGUCUUUUGGCUAAGAUCAAGUGUAGUAUCUGUUCUUAUCAGCUUUGCAGCUAGGGAAUUGGUUUUUAAAAAAACCUAUUUUUGAGUGUUU
rnacentral:snRNA from 1 species